UACGGAGGGUGCAAGCGUUAUCCGGAUUCACUGGGUUUAAAGGGUGCGUAGGUGGGUCUGUAAGUCAGUGGUGAAAUCUCCGUGCUUAACAUGGAAACUGCCAUUGAUACUAUAGGUCUUGAAUCUUCUGGAGGUUAGCGGAAUAUGUCAUGUAGCGGUGAAAUGCUUAGAUAUGACAUAGAACACCAAUUGCGAAGGCAGCUAGCUACAGGGGUAUUGACCCUGAGGCACGAAAGCGUGGGGAUCAAACAGG
rnacentral:rRNA from 1 species